rnacentral:tRNA from 1 species
GGGGCCGUAGCUCAGUUGGGAGAGCGGUUGCUUUGCAAGCAUCAGGUCGUCGGUUCGAUCCCGUCCGGCUCCACCA